rnacentral:rRNA from 1 species
UGGGGAAUAUUGCACAAUGGGCGAAAGCCUGAUGCAGCAACGCCGCGUGAGUGAUGACGGCCUUCGGGUUGUAAAGCUCUGUCUUUGGGGACGAUAAUGACGGUACCCAAGGAGGAGGCCACGGCUAACUACGUGCCAGCAGCCGCGGUAAUACGUAGGUGGCAAGCGUUGUCCGGAUUUACUGGGCGUAAAGGGUGCGUAGGCGGACCUUUAAGUGAGAUGUGAAAUCCCCGAGCUUAACUUGGGGGCUGCAUUUCAAACUGGAGGUCUAGAGUGCAGGAGAGGAGAGUGGAAUUCCUAGUGUAGCGGUGAAAUGCGUAGAGAUUAGGAAGAACACCAGUGGCGAAGGCGACUCUCUGGACUGUAACUGACGCUGAGGCACGAAAGCGUGGGGAGCAAACAG